AGAUGGGCUGGUGUGUAAUACUGAUGGGGCUUGGUUUUCUUUUCCAUCAUCUCCAAUGUUGCCUUGAUUCAGAACAAAUGAAAGUGUUGAGUGUCUCCAAAAGCUCCAAAUAACUUGUGUUUUCUCAUCUUAUGCCCCCUGCUCCGUGCAUUACUCUUUUGUGACUUCCCUUGCCCUGCAUCUAGAGGAGAGAUUACAAGUUGCACCAUCAGCAGCCAAGCAAGGUCUAAGCCACAAGGAAGGAUCUGAGUCAUCUCCCUGAGAGAAUAUUUUAGCCAUACAUCAUUGUUUGUUUUCAGGCAAACCAGUACAAUUAUGCAACAUAAAUUCUUUUAAAGCAUUUGGGACUUCAGUUCAAUUUAAAAUCCUGUAGGUUUUAUGGCCAGAAUGAGUGAUUACUAAGUGUGUGCAUACAAAUGAAGACUUAGGAAGAAGCAUGUGGGGAGGAUGAAAGGGCAUGUGGAGCCUCACACACAGGCUGGGCAAGCUCUGGCCAGGCUUUAACAGGGGAUGGGAGAUACGAAGAGCCCACGUCAAAAGCACAAACUCAUGCAAUCCGUUCCUGCAUGAGCAAUACGCAAAGCCCAGAUGUGUAACCUGGAAAGCUGCAUCCAGAUCCAGCAGGACCUGCUCGGUGCCGAGCAUAACCACCAGUCCCGGGGCCGGUGGGGCAGGAGGCAACUGGGAGGAAACACACGCCAAACCCAUCCUCUCCAGUACCCAGCACAGCCUCGGCACUCAGCGCUGUCUGCUGCGGUGGAAAACAUACACAGCUAUUAAAACAUUACCAGGAGCAGGAUGAAAGAAGUCACGAGUUCAGCGCUUGCAAAGAAAAUCAGAUUGUCAAGAA